rnacentral:rRNA from 1 species
GAUGAACGCUGGCGGCGUGCCUAAUACAUGCAAGUCGAGCGAACGGACGAGAAGCUUGCUUCUCUGAUGUUAGCGGCGGACGGGUGAGUAACACGUGGAUAACCUACCUAUAAGACUGGGAUAACUUCGGGAAACCGGAGCUAAUACCGGAUAAUAUUUUGAACCGCAUGGUUCAAAAGUGAAAGACGGUCUUGCUGUCACUUAUAGAUGGAUCCGCGCUGCAUUAGCUAGUUGGUAAGGUAACGGCUUACCAAGGCAACGAUGCAUAGCCGACCUGAGAGGGUGAUCGGCCACACUGGAACUGAGACACGGUCCAGACUCCUACGGGAGGCAGCAGUAGGGAAUCUUCCGCAAUGGGCGAAAGCCUGACGGAGCAACGCCGCGUGAGUGAUGAAGGUCUUCGGAUCGUAAAACUCUGUUAUUAGGGAAGAACAUAUGUGUAAGUAACUGUGCACAUCUUGACGGUACCUAAUCAGAAAGCCACGGCUAACUACGUGCCAGCAGCCGCGGGUAUACGUANGUGGCAAGCGUUAUCCCGAAUUAUUGGGGGUAAAGCGCGCGGUAGCGGUUUUUUAAGUCUGAUGUGAAAGCCCACGGCUCAACCGUGGAGGGUCAUUGGAAACUGGAAAACUUGAGUGCAGAAGAGGAAAGUGGAAUUCCAUGUGUAGCGGUGAAAUGCGCAGAGAUAUGGAGGAACACCAGUGGCGAAGGCGACUUUCUGGUCUGUAACUGACGCUGAUGUGCGAAAGCGUGGGGAUCAAACAGGAUUAGAUACCCUGGUAGUCCACGCCGUAAACGAUGAGUGCUAAGUGUUAGGGGGUUUCCGCCCCUUAGUGCUGCAGCUAACGCAUUAAGCACUCCGCCUGGGGAGUACGACCGCAAGGUUGAAACUCAAAGGAAUUGACGGGGACCCGCACAAGCGGUGGAGCAUGUGGUUUAAUUCGAAGCAACGCGAAGAACCUUACCAAAUCUUGACAUCCUUUGACAACUCUAGAGAUAGAGCCUUCCCCUUCGGGGGACAAAGUGACAGGUGGUGCAUGGUUGUCGUCAGCUCGUGUCGUGAGAUGUUGGGUUAAGUCCCGCAACGAGCGCAACCCUUAAGCUUAGUUGCCAUCAUUAAGUUGGGCACUCUAAGUUGACUGCCGGUGACAAACCGGAGGAAGGUGGGGAUGACGUCAAAUCAUCAUGCCCCUUAUGAUUUGGGCUACACACGUGCUACAAUGGACAAUACAAAGGGCAGCGAAACCGCGAGGUCAAGCAAAUCCCAUAAAGUUGUUCUCAGUUCGGAUUGUAGUCUGCAACUCGACUACAUGAAGCUGGAAUCGCUAGUAAUCGUAGAUCAGCAUGCUACGGUGAAUACGUUCCCGGGUCU